GAUGAACGCUGGCGGCGUGCCUAAUACAUGCAAGUCGAGCGAACGGACGAGGAGCUUGCUCCUCUGAUGUUAGCGGCGGACGGGUGAGUAACACGUGGAUAACCUACCUAUAAGACUGGGAUAACUUCGGGAAACCGGAGCUAAUACCGGAUAAUAUAUUGAACCGCAUGGUUCAAUAGUGAAAGACGGUCUUGCUGUCACUUAUAGAUGGAUCCGCGCUGCAUUAGCUAGUUGAUAAGGUAACGGCUUACCAAGGCAACGAUGCAUAGCCGACCUGAGAGGGUGAUCGGCCACACUGGAACUGAGACACGGUCCAGACUCCUACGGGAGGCAGCAGUAGGGAAUCUUCCGCAAUGGGCGAAAGCCUGACGGAGCAACGCCGCGUGAGUGAUGAAGGUCUUCGGAUCGUAAAACUCUGUUAUUAGGGAAGAACAAAUGUGUAAGUAACUGUGCACAUCUUGACGGUACCUAAUCAGAAAGCCACGGCUAACUACGUG
rnacentral:rRNA from 1 species